GGGCACAUGGUGUAGUUGGUUAUCACGCUCGCUUUGCAUUACGCUGGCUUUGUGUUCGAAUUGCGAGUGGUCUCCGGUUCGAUUCCGGAUGUGUCCA